rnacentral:rRNA from 1 species
GAUGAACGCUGGCGGCGUGCCUAAUACAUGCAAGUCGAGCGAACGGACGAGAAGCUUGCUUCUCUGAUGUUAGCGGCGGACGGGUGAGUAACACGUGGAUAACCUACCUAUAAGACUGGGAUAACUUCGGGAAACCGUAGCUAAUACCGGAUAAUAUUUUGAACCGCAUGGUUCAAAAGUGAAAGACGGUCAUGCUGUCACUUAUAGAUGGGUCCGCGCUGCAUUAGCUAGUUGGUAAGGUAACGGCUUACCAAGGCAACGAUGCAUAGCCGACCUGAGAGGGUGAUCGGCCACACUGGAACUGAGACACGGUCCAGACUCCUACGGGAGGCAGCAGUAGGGAAUCUUCCGCAAUGGGCGAAAGCCUGACGGAGCAACGCCGCGUGAGUGAUGAAGGUCUUCGGAUCGUAAAACUCUGUUAUUAGGGAAGAACAUAUGUGUAAGUAACUGUGCACAUCUUGACGGUACCUAAUCAGAAAGCCACGGCUAACUACGUG